rnacentral:rRNA from 1 species
CACGUAGGGGGCGAGCGUUGUCCGGAUUUAUUGGGCGUAAAGAGCUCGUAGGCGGCUCAGUAAGUCAGGUGUGAAAACCCGCGGCUCAACCGUGUGGUCUGCAGUCGAUACGGGCUGGCUGGAGUUCGGUAGGGGAGACUGGAAUUCCUGGUGUAGCGGUGAAAAUGCGCAGAUAUCGGGAGGAACACCGGUGGCGAAGGCGGCUUUCUGGACAGACACCGGACGCUGAGGCACGAAAGCUAGGGGAGCAAACAGG